AUGCCUCACCCCUCCCCUCCCCUCCCCCGUUCAGCCAUUUUUUCUGGUCACCGGCGACCACCAGCGCCAUAUAUCCCUGCCGCCGCCGUCCCUCUCUUUUUCUUCUUCCUUUCUUUCUUCCCUUCCCUGCGUUUGCGUUUCUGGCGUGAGUUGGAGCAGCAGAGAGUCGCGAUCCACAGAUCGAGCGACUCCUCGUCGCGCCGGCGAGCCUGCGUCACGCCACCACGCCAUCGCGUCGCCGCCAGCAGCUUCUCUCCGUCCUCGGUCAGAUCGCGCCGCGUUACACUCAGCCCUCCCCUGUCUUCGAGCGAACGAACGCAGCACGAUCUCCAGCUCGUCACGCCGCCAACAGCGUCCUGCAGCCGCGCCACAGCUCCGCCGUUGCUCCGGCAAGACUCCGGCCACCUGCUUGCAGUCCCGAUGAGCGCAGCAAUCUGUUUUGGUCUACUCAGUGCCACUGCUCUCACCUGCUCUUCGUUCCGGCGCGCGUAGCUUCCGUUUCCGGUCAAACAAAUUCGGGCAUUAAUAUAUUUGGAUUGCUCGGAUCCAUCUAUUGCUCUUCCCGGUCAGAAUCAGAGUUAGAGCUUCAUCUUCUGCCACGGUAGUAGAAGGCAGUUGAUCCGACUAAGCUCUGCAAUCUUUCCUGCAAGGCUAUGAAAGUAAAUUUCUAAAUUUUUUAUUUAGUUAAUUGGUGUUGUUAAAUGUAUAAACUACUCUACUUUCAAAUUAUUGUUGAACUCUGCAGCUGUAGGGAUUAGCGUAUUUUUAAUUGGAUGAUUUAAUUGUUUAAUUCAGCGCAUAUGAACUGAUAGCCCAUAUUAUGAAUGUGAUGUAUUACGAUUAGGCCCUGAUUAAAUUUUAUUCGAGAUAAUUGAGAUA